rnacentral:rRNA from 1 species
AACGAACGCUGGCGGCAUGCCUAACACAUGCAAGUCGAACGAGACCUUCGGGUCUAGUGGCGCACGGGUGCGUAACGCGUGGGAAUCUGCCCUUGGGUUCGGAAUAACUCAGAGAAAUUUGAGCUAAUACCGGAUGAUGACGUAAGUCCAAAGAUUUAUCGCCCAAGGAUGAGCCCGCGUAAGAUUAGCUAGUUGGUGGGGUAAAGGCCUACCAAGGCGACGAUCUUUAGCUGGUCUGAGAGGAUGAUCAGCCACACUGGGACUGAGACACGGCCCAGACUCCUACGGGAGGCAGCAGUCGAGAGGCUUCGGCAAUGGGGGAAACCCUGACCGAGCGACGCCGCGUGAGGGAUGAAGGCCCUUGGGUUGUAAACCUCUUUUGUUCGGGAAGAAGUGCGAUCAGGUGAAUAAUCUGGUCGUUUGACGGUACCGGACGAAUAAGCUCCGGCUAACUCCGUG